AGUAAGCAGAGGAACCCCAUCAAACUUGGAUUUUGUAAGUAGUUGCGAAUGAACACAAAUUUGAUCACUUUGGCAAUCUGUACACAUUGCUGUGUAACAAUUUGUAUACGUUGGCACAGUGCUAUCAAAGCUGCAUGCAAGUGUUUUUUGAAAGGAUACAACAUGGGAUGUGAUAUUCAUGUGUGUGUGCCUGCUUUGUCCACAGCCUGUGCUGUAUGAAUCACAUUUCUUGCAACUGAAAUGCUAAUGGCAUGGUAAAGUUCAUGUGACAUGACACAAGCUUGAGAUUCAUGAUGUGCAAGUACCAUGAGGGAAAUGUGAAAAGGACUUUGGAAAGAGAAUUAAAUAAAGCCUGCAUUUGCUGACAAUGAAAGCAAGUGUGGAUGUUCAUGUAAUUGUUACUGCAUCAAUCAAUGUUCAUCUUGGUUACUGCAUGCUUUAUAUUACAGCUCAGAACAUGAAGUGUGUGUAACAGCUCUGCUUUGAUUUUUCCCACAUGGGAUCAGUUGAAACAUUGUGAGAGCACUCUUCAGUUUCCUUAUGUACCCACCAGCUUUGUCCACUCGCGUGUUGGCACACAUGUAAUGAUGAUGUGUUUAUGCAAGAUACUUCUGUGCUCAACAACAUGUUGUGUCAAUCCUCACUUGACCC
rnacentral:rRNA from 1 species